AUGAAAAUUAUUUUGAUAUUUUUCAUCCUGACAUACUAUGAAUUUUCAAAUAUAUUCUAUCAUGAGCUGAAUCAAACUCCAGCAACAACAGUGGAGGCUAAGGAUAACAUCCAAGAAGAUAAACCAAUUAUUAGUAUUAGUGAAUGGGAAAUUGACAAGGACUAUACAUGUGAUGUUUUCCAAUCAAGACAAAAGAAAAAACUUCAUUUGUGUUCCCUAAAGAUCCAUCUACUGUGUGCCACUAACAAUAUCACUUAUCCCAGCCUCUGUGUGUUCUGCCAUGUGCAUAUGUAAGUAAAACAAAACAAAUAAUUCUCUGAAUGAUUUAAGAAAUUCACUAGUUU
rnacentral:lncRNA from 1 species